GUUGGAUUCUGUCGAAAACGGCCGGUCCGCACUAUGUGCGUGUAUCUGGUUCGGUUUUGGCAUCCUCAUGAAGAACGUAACUGCGCUUGAUUGCGUGGUGCGGAAUUCAUGACUUUUACUUUGAGGAAAUUAGAGUGUUCACGGCAGGGAAGCGCCUUGAAUAUAUUAGCAUGGAAUAAUAAUAUAGGACCUUGGUGCCAUUUUGUUGGUUUCUGGAACUAAGGUAAUGAUUAAUAGGGAUAAUUGGGGGGAUUCGUAUUAACGGGUCAGAGGUGGAAUUCUUGGAUUGCGUUACGACGAACUACUGCGAAAGCAUUUGCCAAGGAUGUUUUCCUUGAUCAAGAACGAAAGUAUGGGGAUCGAAGAUGAUUAGAUACCGUCCUAGUCUAUACCAUAAACUAUGGCGACUAGAAAUUGGAGGUCGUUCUUUUUAUGACUUUUUCCGCACCUUAUGAGAAACCCAAGUUUUUGGGUUCCGGGGGGAGUAUG
rnacentral:rRNA from 1 species